UUUAUUUUACCCAAUCAGAAAAAGAUCUAUCCACCGUCCUGUCUAAUCAUCUUCAGAUCCCCAAUGAGGCCAUUCACCUAAUCCCUUUUGAUUUUUACAUUUCAGCCUCUCCCUUCCUUCUCAUCUCCCAUUUUGCCUUCACCCCGGUUCUCUCUCUUUUUCCCAUUCCUUCAGAUUCUCAGCAUACUCAGGAACAUUUUCGACUAGGUAAAUCGCAUUCUUUUUCUUUAGUGUUUCUAUUGAAAUCAUAUGCGCUAGUUUAUUCGCUGUUCACGGAAUGUGUUCAAACCAACAUCUGUUAUUUUGAGCCAUUAACUGCUUAAUAUCAUGAAUAUAUGCCCCGACCAUUGAUUUGUCUUUACUCUUUACCUUGCACUUCUUUAUUAUCGAUAAUGCAUCCCCUUCAAUGAUGAGUCUUGGCCAUUACAUGUUGAUGCCAAUAUGGGUUGCUGUCAUACAAGCGAUUGCUUCGGCAGCAAAAACUGAAGCAACUUGGUGGUAAAUCUCUGAGAAUGAUAAAAGCACUGUACCUUCACUGUCCCUGGCUACGAUCCCCACUGCCGAUUGACAAAUAUUUCCAUCGUAUGCGGCGACGAAGUUGAUCUUCACGAACUUUUUAGGUGGGUGUUUCCACCUUGUAACUUUUGAGAGAAUUUUUAGUAUUCUCUCUUCAUUUCCAUUUAGCUCGAGAAUAUAACGGUUUAUGAAAUCUGCUAUUUAUUUUAUAGAUCUGCUCAUCUUCUCAUGUAUCCUCUUGUCCUUUGCUCCCCAGAUUGCCCACAAAGCGCAACAAAAAAUCCUGCACUGUGAAAUAUUUGUCUGUUCGAAAACCCAGGUGAGCCAUUAUAUGAACUCCAUGUAAUACUUUAAAAAUUUUUAUAGUAAGAUAUUAUCCUUGAUAUAGUAAAAUAAGGAGAUAAAGUGACAAAAAGGGAAAUUUUGAGUUAUAUUGAGAAGUAUAUUAUGAUAUAUUAAUUCAAGAAAGGAUUAAAUUGUAAAAGUGAGAAAAGUUUUAUUACAUAAGAGUAAAUAUUCAUAAUUUGAGGGGUUAAAGUGUAAAUAUGAGAAAGUUGAAAGACCAAUAGUGUAAAUAAUUUAAGAGUGGAAUGAUCUAGAAACUAAGUGGAAUGAUCUAGAAACUAAGGAAAAUGGAUGAAUUAGGAUCAAAUUGAAUAGAUGAAGAACUAUGAGGGAUUAAAUUAUAAUUUUACCAAAUUAAAUGAUGACUUAAGGAUGGAAUUUUAAAAGAUAAUGAAGGGCAAAAUAAUCAAUUGGAAGAGAGAGAAAUCUAAAAAGUAAUAAUGAUGCUAGAGAUAUUUUGAUAUUUUAUAAUUAUUUAAUUAGAUAAAUAUUAUUUUAUUAAUACUUUAAUAAGAUAUUUUAUUAUUAUUUUAUUAGUAUAUAAAGAAAAAAAGAAGAGAAAUUCUCAUCCAUAUUUUCCCAUGCACUAACGUGAGAGAAAGAGAGGAAAAAAGAAAGUUUUGCUUUCUUUACAAUUUGGUCCUUCUACUAAAAAUUCACCAUUUCACUCAAAAAUCAAAUGAAUUUUCAUAACUACCAAGAGACAAAAAUGUUAAGGAGAGCAUGGGGAGUUAGAAUAUCAAGUUGGUUUCAAGAAAUAGAAGCUUAAGGAGAGAGAAAAUCAAGUUAAAGACUAGUAUUAAUAGAACAAGGUAAGUAUAUCAAGAUUUCAAUAUGUUUUUAAGUUUGUUAUUAUUGACAAAGCAUGGAAAUAAUGUUAUAGUAGAGUUUUAUUACAUAAGGUCCUAUGUUUUUGAUAUGUUAGUGAAGAGAAAAUAAGAGAAAGUGAUGAGUAAUGGUGUCGAAAAAAAAAAUAAGGGUGUUAUAACAUGGUAAUUAAUAGCUUGCACAAAAACAAUUUGGACAGUAGUAAUAGACUUUAAAAAAUCACCAUAAAUUGUAGAAAUCGAAUUAGAAUAUGAAAAAAAUAUGUAAUUAAAGCUUAUUAAGUUUAGUUUCUCAUAGAAGAAAUAAUGUAAGUAAUGGAUUUGUAAAUUUUGAGAUAUAAUGAAUUUUGUGAGACAAGGUCAGAAUGAAUUCGGGUUCCCCUGUUCUGAAUUUUAAAAAUCAUAAAAAAUUUAAGAAAAAUAAUUAGGGGCUUAAAUUUAUAUGUAUAAAAUCCUGAAUGGGUAUAUUUUUAAGAAACAAACAAGAACAUCAUUUGAAUCCUGUAUGAGGAGAUAAUUAAUUUUUGGUGAAGAAUGGUCAGAACUGUUAGAAAGCAGAACAGUGGUAACUUUAAAGAAUAAACUGUACUUAUUGACUAAACCAAAAAUUCUAAAAUUUUUAUGAUAAGAAUAUAUAUGAGUCUAAAUUCAGGGAAAAUUAUCGGAUAUUAAUUUUGAGUUCUAUAGAUCCAGAUAUAAAUAAUUUAGUGACUAUGAUGCAGAUAGACAGCUUGAAUAUUCAUAAAAGUAAAUAAUAAGAAUUAUGGAUAAUGUUACUUACAAGUGUGUUAUCUAUAUUAAGGAUGUGGAAUGGAGAGGAGGAGGAGGAAAAAUAUGUAUGAAUAUUCAUUUAGCAUGGCUAAUUUGCAUAUUUUAGGCUCAGAGACUAAAUUGAAUAAAAGUAAAAUUUUAUGGGCAAUUUUGUAAACAUGUCAAAAAUGACCAAAUUGCAUGAAAUAGAUUAUUUUAUUAUUUAAAUUACAAAGUUGAAUGAAAUUAUUAAUUUAGUUCAAGAUCGGGGGAAAACAUGUUUUAGGGAUUAAAUUGAGAAGUGUUGAAAUUAUGAAAAAUUUUGAUAUUUUAUAGAAUUUAUGGAUUGUUAUCAAUAUAUAUGAGAAUAAUAUCUUGAAAUGAGGAUUAAAUUGCAAGAAUUUUAUUUUCCUGACCCUAAAGAUGAAAUUGUCAUUAAUUAAAAGUUUAGGGGCAAAAUGGUAAUUUUGCCUAGAGUAUUAAUUAAAUGCAUUAGAAUAUGAAAUGAAUGAAAAUGAUGAUAAAAUUUAUUUAUAAGGAUCCAGACGACUCAAAUAUAAGACUUGAUCGUGGAAAAGAAAAGAUAUCAGAUUAAUGAAAUUAUAAACACAAACAAGCAAGGAGGUAAGUUCGUGUAACUUGAAUUAUAUUCUUAAAUGCUUGAGAUUGUUUGUUAUUUAUGUGAAUAUGAUUUGAAUGUUUAUUGUAUGAAAAUUUAUGAAACAUUGAUAAAUUUGAUAAAAUGAGAAGAAAUUCCGGUUGAAUGAAAGGAAAAAUCGAUGGAUCUCUAAAAAGAAAUUGACGGUAAAAAGGAUUUAGCCCAGACGGAUGAUCCUAUCCUGAUAUAACCCUCCCGAAGAAUGUGUAAAACGGAUUUAGUCCAAACGGGUAAUUCGAAUUAGGGUUUGAAUUUAGCCUGGACUUGUAAUUCAGAUCCAAACUCAUUAGAGUAAUUGUCGUUGCAGGGGAUUUAGCCUGGACUGGUAAUCCCGAUAAUACUCUGAGUUUAUAUUACAGGGGAUUUAGCUUGGACUGGUAAUCUCACUGUGAGGAUGAGGUUUACGGGAGUGUGCUCUCUGAUAUGAAAUGUGUAAGACAAUGGUUGAAAGAUACCAUGGCAACAUGACAGAAAAUGAGUAAGACCAUAGUUGAAAGACACAAUGGCAUCACGUUAAAGAUAAAUAAGACCGUGGAUGAGAGACGUUAUAACAUCUGUUGAACAAUUGAUAUUCAGGUAAAAUGUAUCAGAUGACGAAUGGUUAUUUGAAAUGGUUGUGUGAAAUGUUUACAAGAACUGGUCAUAUGAAAAUAUAUGUACAAAAGUGUUGUAUAAAAUAAUUAUGAAAAUGGAUAAACGAAAUAAGUAUAAGUACAUGAAAUAUAAUUUAUGUUAAGUUUGAUAUAAUCUAUUACCAGAAUAAAUAUACAUAAAAUAUAUGAAAAUGAUUAAGCAUAAAAUAUUAAUAUAAUGAAAUGAAUGAUAUAUGCUUGUGAAGAAACGGUAAGAGCAUGAUAUGUUUCAUGACAUGUACAUAUAUGAUUAUAUUUGAUAUGUUGAUACAAGGAAAUUAUGUAAUUGAGACUAUUAUUAAACUCAAGUGCGACAUGUCAAGAAAAUAGAUAUAUCAAUGUUGAAUUUAUAAGAAAUAUGUGCAAGUAUACUAACAAUGUUGUUGUUUGAUGCUUAUACAAUUGACAAACUAUUGAUUGAAUGGUAAUAUAUUUAUUUUAUAUGAUGCAUUGAAUCGGUAAGUAUUUUAAUUUUUUUAAGUGAUCUGUAAAUGGUAGUGCUCCGAAACCCUGUUCUGGCAGCGGAUACGGGUUAGGGGUGUUACACUCCAAGUGUGGUAUUGUCAGGUAUUUUGAAAAUGAUAACUCUUCCCACGUUGUUUUUGAAAUAGGACAGUCACGGAAUAUAUGGUUCAUGGUUUCUGCGCCUUGUCUACACCGAGGACAUACAAUAUCAUUUGAGAGCUUUCUGUACUGCAUGUUCAUUUUUGUAGGUAGAUAAUUUCACGAUACUAUCUUAGAAGGUAGAUUAAGAAGCCAGAGUUUUUUGUAAAAUUUUCUAUAGUCGGUUUGUAAAGCAUAAGCUCUAGGAUCUGUUUCAGUACAUUGUAAUAGUUUGUAGGCACUACGUACCGUGAAUUUUCUCGAGGGCUCCCCACUCUAGGCCAAGAAAUCGUUAUGGGCCUCUUUUGCUAGCGGAAUACGGAGGAUCUUCGCAGCUACAUCCUCUGAGAAGGUAGAAACUACCAACUCUCUUUUCCAAUUUUUGCUACUAUCGUCAAUUAAUUCAGCAACACUAAAAUCACUCAAAUUAUUAACAUAAGAUGAUAACCUGGAAUUAUGCAAAUCUGGUAUCCAAACAUCAUUUAAAAUUGAAAUUGCUAAAUGCCUGCCCACUUUCCAGCAAAGACCGUCUACUAAAACGCCUUUAGUUGCCCAUAUACUUUUCUAUGUAUAUGAGUUAUUAUUUCCCAAACUUGAAUGUAAAAAAUCCUCAUUUGGAAAAUAUCUUGCUUUUAAAACUUGUGCAACUAACGAGUUGGGAUUGUUUAGGAUUCUCCAACCUUGUUUAGCUAGUAGAGACACAUUAAAUUUAGCCAUACUCCUAAAGCCCAUUCCUCCCUCAUCUUUGGGUCGACACGUAUGCUUCUACUGACACCAAUGAAUUCCUUUCUUCCCAUAUGCCUUUUGCCACUAGAAAUUGACAAUGAUUCGUUCAAAUUCAUCAUAAAGGGAAUUAGGUAAAAGAAAACAUGACAGCGUAUUUUGGAAUUGCUUGAAGUACUGAUUUAAUAAAUACUUCCUUACCACCUUGUGAUAAAAAUCUAGUACUCCAGCCUUUAAUUCUUAAGAGAGCAUUUUCUUUAAGGUACUGGAAAGACUCUUUUCUGUCUACCAACCACAUUAAGAAGACCUAAGUAUUUUUCCAUAUCAGUUGAACGUCUGACCCCUAGGAUUGUCGAGAUCUCACAUUUAUUUUCUUCCGAAGUAUCAGAGCCGUAGAAAAUUGUAGAUUUAUUAAAAUUAACACAUUGGCCAAAAUAUUCUUAGUACUCCUUUAGAAUUUCCAUUAGCAGCCUCGCUCCCUUGUCUGUUGCUUCCCCAAACAGUAUACAAUCAUCUGCGAAUAGUAGAUGUGAAAUCGCUGGUCCUCUCCGACUUGCCUUUGCUCCUUUCAUCAGUCCUUCCUUCAUAGCCAAUUUCAUUAAAGUCGAAAGCCCCUCACUACAUAGUAAGAAAAGAAAAAGGCUAAGGGGAUCACCCUAUCUCAACCCUCUAGUAGCUAGAAAAAUUCUUCCUCUUUGUCCAUUGAUAUUGAUGGCAUAGGAUGCUUUGGUAAUACAUUUCAAAAUUAAAUCCACCUAUUCCUUUACAAACCUAUCCGUAACAUGACUUCCUUAAGAAAGCCCCAUUUAACCCUAUCGUAAGCUUUGCUCAUGUCGAGUUUAACUGCCAUAUAUCAUUUUUUCCCUGUACUUUUUGUCGAAACGUAUGUAGGAUUGCAUAAGCUAGUAGAAUAUUAUUCGUAAUUAGCCUUCUUGGAACAAAAUCACUUUGAGCCGCAUCAAUGCAUCUCUCAAUUACUACUUGCAAUCUAUUGGCAAUUGUCUUGGCCACAAUUUUGUAUAGGACCGUGCAUAAGCUUAUAAGUCUGAAAUUGGCUAAGAUGGUAGGAUUUUGUGUUUUGGGAAUCAGCACAAUAUCUGUUAAAUGUAAAGGGCUAAAAUUGUGAUCAUUGUUUAGAAUUCCCAAACAGAAAGUAGUAACUUAUUUACCUACAAUGUGCCAGUAUCGUUGGCAAAAUAAUGCUGAAAACCCAUCAGGUCCUGGUACUUUAGUUGGCCUCAUUCCCUUUAAAGCUGAAAACACUUCUUUUGCCGUGUAAAUUGCUAAUAAGGCAGCAUUAAUGUCUAGCGAAAUGUUCUCUUCAAUACUUGAUAAUAGGUGAGAUAAAUCCCUAACGCCGUUUGACAUAAAUAGUUUCUAAAAAUAUAAAGUAACAUUUUCAUUUAUCUGACUUCAGUAGUCUCUCAUCCUCCAUCUAGCUCCAGUUGAGAAAUAGUAUUAAUUUUCCUUCGAAACGAGGCAUACUUGUAGAAAAAAGAGGAAUUCUUGUCCCCUACUUUAAGCCAAUUCGCUCUUGCCCUCUACUCCCAGUAAAUCUCAUCUCUAUCAAUUUCCAUGUUCAAAUGAACCUUGGUGUCAAUAAUCUCUGCUGUCGUGUCAUCGUCCCUUUCUUUUGCCAUCAGCAUCUCAAGUUCCUUGGUUAACUUUUUCUUCAGCCUCUCUCACUCCUUAAUUAACGUCGCCCAUACCUGAAGGUUUGCUUGCAGCUUUUCCAGUUUCUCCACAAUUGUGCUUGUAUUUGAUUCCCAUAAUACCUUAAUUUCUUUCUUUAAAGAUUCCUUCCUGAUCCACCACGCUUCGAAUCUAAAUUGUGGCUUUCUAGCAUAGGUGUUUCCAUUUUUGGUAUUGAGAAAAAGUGGGCAAUGAUCAGACAUCGAAUAGGUUAAGUGAUGAAUGCUGCCUGUUGGAAAAAGAUACCUACAUUUCUCAUUGGCAACUCCCUUAUCAAGUCUUUCCUUUAUAUUUGUUUCUGCAAAGUUUCCUCGCUCCAAUGUAAACCAAGCCCCCGAGUAUCCUAUAUCUUCUAACUGACAUUCUUCUAGAGUUUCCCAGAAGGCCUCUAUUUUUCUUUCAUCUCUCGGUAUCCCUCUACUUUUCUCGAAUGAAUACAUUAUUUCAUUGAAGUCCCCGCUUACUAACCAUUGAUGCCUUUGGUCUUCUCCCAAUUUCCUCAACAAAUUCCAAGAGACAUUUUUAUUAUUAACAUAAGGUGACCCAUAAAAACCUGUAUAUUGCCAUUCUUUGUUCGUAUCGAUCUCCUUAACCAUUGCAUCGAUGUGUUCCUUGGAGAAACUCCUUAGAGUAACUAUUAUAUCAUCCUUCCAUGCUAAACAUAGACCUCAACACGAGCCUUUUGCAUCAAUAUCAAUCCCAUUCAGAAAACCACAUCUCCUUCUAACUUUUUCCAUGCGUUGCUUAUCAAUUUUUGUCUCCGUUAAGAAGACCAUGUGGGGAUUAUGCUGCUUUAAGAAAUAUCGCAACCUUCUGAUCGCCCGUGGACUCCCCAACCUACGGACAUUCCAGCUUAUGCUUUCAUUUGCUUUUAGUCAGCUUGCCACUUGGCAGCUGCCGAUCCUGUAAAAUGUGGAACAACACUCUGCUCCGUAGUUUCAAGCAUUGCUUCUAAUAGAAAUUCACCACCGUCCUUUUUUACUUCUCUUUUCAACCUAUUUGUUCUUUCAUCGUAUGUUACUUCACUACCGUUAUUCUCAAUUUCGUCUUCCGGGGAUUUCCUCUUUCUUAUACUGCAGUCUUCCUUUUCCUCCCUCAUUGUUUGGACUGGGGCUAGUCUUUUCUAGCUUGACAUUUUUGCUAAGGUUGGACAAUUAACUUGUUUAGUCUUGUUGUCAUUCAUCUGUAUAUCUUCCAUAAGUGUAGAUACUUUCUCCGUAUUCUUCAUGUUAUCCUCCACAUCCUUCACCUCUAGUUUUUCUCACAGCAUCGUGGUCGUUUUAAUCCCCUCUUCUAUUAUUUUCCUAUCAAAUGCCAAUACCUCUGGACCACCUAUAUGUGAGCAUUGAACUUUUCUCGUUUUUGAAAAAGCAUUAAACUUUAUACUCUCUUUCCCAAGUAAGUUUGAUUCUGCUUUUAAAGCCUGCGUGUAUGGUGGAUCAUCUCUAACUUUAUUUUUUCUGCAGGAUUUAACUCAGAGCAAUCUGCAAGCCUGUGCCCCAUUAUUCCACAUCCAACAAAACAACGGUAGCUUUUCAUACUUAAAAGAGAUCCACAAUUUAUUAAUAUUAUCGAUUGAGACAAAAUACCUCGUCUAAGGGGUUUCUACAUAUUAAGAUUAACUCUAAGACGACAUAGCUCUCCAUUAAUUGCAAAUCUGAGCACCCCCAAAAGUAAUACCAAUAGUAUGUAAUAAGUUUUUUUUAUCGGCUUCUGGUGGGCACGACCCUAUCUUGAUCCAAUAUGGUGAAGAGUUAAACCAAAUUUGGCCUCUUUUUGUCGGAUUAAAUAUUUUAUUGAAUAAAAUUAGACUUUUUUGGAACAGCCAUGGCCUCCCCUCCAUAAUCAUCUCCAGAUCUUCUUCUAAAUCAA
rnacentral:lncRNA from 1 species